rnacentral:rRNA from 1 species
CUGACUGCUAUCGGAUGAUACUAAGCCAUGCGAGUCUUUGUAGUAUACAAGGCAGACGGCUCAGUAACACGUAGUCAACCUACCCUAUGGACGAGAAUAAUCUCGGGAAACUGAGCAUAAUUCUCGAUAGAUCAUAAUGCCUGGAAUGGUUUAUGGUUAAAAUGAUUCGUCGCCAUAGGAUGGGACUGCGGCCUAUCAGCUUGUUGGUGAGGUAAUGGCCACCAAGGCGAUUACAGGUACGGGCUCUGAGAGGAGAAGCCCGGAGAUGGGUACUGAGACACGGACCCAGGCCCUAUGGGGCGCAGCAGGCGAGAAAACUUUGCAAUGUGCGAAAGCACGACAAGGUUAAUCCGAGUGAUUUCUGCUAAAGAAAUCUUUUGUCAGUCAUAAAACCACUGACGAAUAAGGGGUGGGCAAGUUCUGGUGUCAGCCGCCGCGGUAAAACCAGCACCUCAAGUGGUCAGGAUGAUUAUUGGGCCUAAAGCAUCCGUAGCCGGCUUUGUUAGUUUUCGGUUAAAUCCAUGUGCUCAACACAUGGGCUGCCGAAAAUACUGCAUGGCUAGGGAGUGGGAGAGGUAGACGGUACUCAGUAGGAAGGGGUAAAAUCCUUUGAUCUAUUGAUGACCACCUGUGGCGAAGGCGGUCUACCAGAACACGUUCGACGGUGAGGGAUGAAAGCUGGGGGAGCAAACCGGAUUAGAUACCCGGGUAGUCCCAGCUGUAAACGAUGCAGACUCGAUGAUGCAUUGGCAUAAUAGCCAUUGCAGUGUCGCAGGGAAGCCGUUAAGUCUGCCGCCUGGGAAGUACGUACGCAAGUAUGAAACUUAAAGGAAUUGGCGGGGGAGCACCACAAGGGGUGAAGCCUGCGGUUCAAU